rnacentral:tRNA from 1 species
GCCCGGAUAGCUCAGUUGGUAGAGCAGGGGACUGAAAAUCCCCGUGUCGGUGGUUCAAUUCCACCUUCGGGCA